rnacentral:rRNA from 1 species
CGUGUAGGCGGUCGGGUAAGUCAGAUGUGAAAGCCUUCUGCUUAACAGAAGAAGUGCAUUUGAAACUGCUCGGCUAGAGUACGGGAGAGGAGAGUGGAAUUCCCGGUGUAGAGGUGAAAUUCGUAGAUAUCGGGAGGAACACCAGUGGCGAAGGCGGCUCUCUGGUCCGAUACUGACGCUGAGACGCGAAAGCGUGGGGAGCAAACAGGAUUAGAUACCCUGGUAGUCCACGCCGUAAACGAUGGGCACUAGGUGUAGGAGGUAUUGACCCCUUCUGUGCCGAAGCUAACGCAUUAAGUGCCCGCCUGGGGAGUACGGCCGCAAGGCUAAA